GCCCGGCUGGCUCAGUUGGUUAAGCAUCUGACUCAGAUUCAGGUCAUGAUCUCAGUGUGUGAGUUCGAGUCCCAUGUCGAUCU
rnacentral:tRNA from 1 species